UACAGAGGGUGCGAGCGUUGUCCGGAAUUAUUGGGCGUAAAGCGCGCGCAGGCGGUUCAUUAAGUUGGGUGUUUAAGCCCGGGGCUCAACCCCGGUUCGCAUCCAAAACUGGUUGACUUGAGUGUAGGAGAGGAAAGUGGAAUUCCACGUGUAGCGGUGAAAUGCGCAGAUAUCAGGAGGAACACCGGUGGCGAAGGCGGGUCUCUGGGCCGAUGAUCGACGCUGGAGGAGCGAAAGCGUGGGGAGCAAACAGG
rnacentral:rRNA from 1 species